CGCAGAGAGAUUAAGUUUCACGUCGAAAGUCUCACGGAUAAUAAGAUGUGAUACCGAAGUUUGAACGCAGAUCUGUUUAUAUGUAUUGUACCAUGCUGCUUUUUAGGAAACUGUCUGCGAUGCUAAGAUAGAUCUCACUGCAGUCAAUGGAGUGAGGAUGAGCGGAACCCUGCUUGAAGAGAGGGAGGCAAUAGGUGGCAGCUACAUGCUCCUGCCCCUGUACAUAACAUAGCUCCUAACAAGUGCCUGGCCCAUGAGCGGACCCAGUUGAUUCAGGUGUGGAUCAUUACAGGUUCAAAGAACACCAAUGUGUUAGACCGAUGGUAAAUGACUGAGGCUGAUCUCAACGUC